GGAGAGACUCUUCUCCAUGUAAAAAUGAACUUUGAUGAUAUAAUGAAAUGCUAUUGAGAUUUCUCCAGUCAUAUCCUCAGAGUUCAACCUUCUUUGUGCUUAUUUUGCACUUCCUCCUCUAGCUUCCUUCCCUUUUGGAAGGUCUUCUGAGCUUGAUAAACCUCAUAUACUCACCAAACCUUCACUAAAACAUUCAUCGAACACCUUCCAUGCAUCACAAUUCUCAUGCAUCCUUCCUUUCCGCUGCUGCAUUUUGUGAUGUGAAGUUGUUCUAGCAUGAAGCUUGGACUUGCUUCCAUCAUGUCUUUUGUUAAAGACAAAAUCUUGUAUAUGAACAAAUGAUCUCAUGUUUUGAAUUUUAAUCAAAUAACAUUAAAACGAUUUAAAGGAUCAGAAAGCAACUUAGGAUAAAAACGUAGAGCCAAAAACCCAA
rnacentral:lncRNA from 1 species